UACGAAGGGGGCUAGCGUUGUUCGGAAUCACUGGGCGUAAAGGGCGCGUAGGCGGCCUGAUAAGUCGGGGGUGAAAGCCUGUGGCUCAACCACAGAAUUGCCCUUCGAUACUGUUAGGCUUGAGACCGGAAGAGGUAAGUGGAACUGCGAGUGUAGAGGUGAAAUUCGUAGAUAUUCGCAAGAACACCAGUGGCGAAGGCGGCUUACUGGUCCGGUACUGACGCUGAGGUGCGAAAGCGUGGGGAGCAAACAGG
rnacentral:rRNA from 1 species